rnacentral:lncRNA from 1 species
CUUGCCCUGAUUUUUCUCUCCAGGAAUACAGUGCAGAGGAUAGAGAGGCUGCGGCUUAAAGGGGUCUGGGCUGUCCUGAUCCGUGCAGGGUCAGAGCAGGCAGAGGGGUGGCCAUAUGGCACGGUGGCCUGGCAGAGCAGGGGAUAGCACUCUGGAGGCCCCCAGCAUGCAGUCACCAGCUUCUCCUUGGUCCUCCCCGCUAGGAGAGGCGGGCAGGGCUCCAGCAGGCAGGGGUGUAGUUGGGCCAGAGAGGCUAGGAGGAAGCUGAAAGGAAUGGGGUUCCCGACGGGUGGGUCAGGUUAGCACACAGCAUGACGCGACAGGGCGCGCGUGCUUGACAGGAUGCCAGGGCCGCCCUGCCCAAGCAGGUGACUGUAGUCGGCGGGCGGCCCUCUGCCCAGCACGUGGCCCGCCGGACACCCCAGCCUUCCGCGUGCCCGCGCUCCACCCUUCCUCCCUGCUUCUCGGGGUCCUCAGUCUCCGCCCAAGCCCUGGUACCCUCAACUUCCCGUGGUAAUCACUCUGAGCUGGCUGGUCCUGGACACAGCCGGACGCAGAGGACUCAGGCACCCACGGAGCCCCUGGAGGGCAGCAGAGACCUUGCUUCCGGGCACGCGCAAGGCAUACGCAGAGGGGACACUCGCAGGUCCCCCCUCCCAUGUGGGCAUUGUAGGGUCUUGAGAUGUGAGGAUAGGUUUCUUUUCCAGAAUUGGGUGGGGGUGCUGAUCCAAAUCCAGUGUCAACCAGGAGGGGCGCAGAGAAAGCGGGCGCUGCGCGGGGUCCGGAGCCUCUCCACCGAGAGGGAGACCCGGCGGCGGGAGCCAGGCUCUGAACGGACCCAGGGGCGGCGAGAGACUGGCCCCGCCCCGCGGACCCCGAGCGGGUCCCCAGACGGGGGGUGGCGCUGCGGGCGCGGGCGGGCGCCGCGCGCACUGCGGUCCCCGCGCCUCGCCGCAGAGCGCGCCACGCUUGCACGCACCUGCCGCCGCCUGGCCGAGCCCCGCGCCCGCGCCCCUGGGUACCUCCCGCUCCCGCCAUCACCAGGGUCGCCGCGGGAGCCUCCGAGCCACCGGCCGAAGGCGGGCGCCGCAUCGGGGCCUGCCUUUCAAGCAACCUCCGCGGCGGCGGCGCGCAGCCGGGGACGCCAGGCUGGGGCAGCUCGGGCCUGGUGCAGGCCUCGCCUGUGCUCGCGCCGAGGAGCCUGCAGCCCGGGGCCUUCUGCAGCCGGUGCUCAGGCUAGCUGCCUUCCCUGGGAGCCCUGUCCUGGAGCCAUGGGGCCCACCUAGCCCCUGCCUGCCCCGAUGUCCCGGCCCGGGGACUGCUGACCCUGGCUGCAGGGGGAGCGCCCACAGCGCCCCCUGGCCAACCUCGGCAGCCAGAGACCCUGGGUGAGCGACUGGGCCAGACCCCAAACCCAGCGCAGCCUCGCAUACCCCCCUGCCCUCCGCCUGACGCCCCCCCCCCCGCCCCUGCCUCCUCCUCCCAGAUCUGAACCAGAAAAGGCGCCGUCGCCACUGGGGGGGGACUUUUGCCCCACCAGGGCCUCAUCAAGCGGCCC